rnacentral:rRNA from 1 species
AUUGAACGCUGGCGGCAGGCCUAACACAUGCAAGUCGAGCGGAGCGGCGGACGGGUGAGUAAUGCCUAGGAAUCUGCCUGGGCGUGGGGGAUAACGUCCGGAACCGGGCGCUAAUACCGCAUACUAUCAGAUGAGCCUCGGUCGGAUUAGCUAGUUGGUGGGGUAAAGGCCUACAAAGGCGACGAGCCGUAACUGGUCUUAGCGGAUGAUCAGUCACACUGGAACUGAGACACGGUCCAGACUCCUACGGGAGGCAGCAGUGGGGAAUAUUGGACAAUGGGCGAAAGCCUGAUCCAGCCAUGCCGCGUGUGUGAAGAAGGUCUUCGGAUUGUAAAGCACUUUAAGUUGGGAGGCGUUACCAACAGAAUAAGCACCGGCUAACUUCGUGCCAGCAGCCGCGGUAAUAC